rnacentral:tRNA from 1 species
GGGGCUAUAGCUCAGCUGGGAGAGCGCCUGCCUUGCACGCAGGAGGUCAGCGGUUCGAUCCCGCUUAGCUCCCCCA